GUCUUCAGCUCCUGAGCCAUAAAACAUUCCACUUGAGAUUCAGAGUUCAGACUACAGAAAACAAGUGCAGCAGAGACACUUCUAUCAUGUCAAGCCAAGCAACAGAGGGCCGUGGAUCAGAUUCCCACAGCAAGCUAGACCGGUUCACAGAAUGGCUGCUGCAGAAGCUCAGUUACAUCAGCGUGACAACCGGCCAUGACGAGUACAUGAAAGAGAUUGGAGAGAGGCAGCAGAGGAAUGGGGAUUUGAACUGCGAGAGAUUAGUGCAACGUGCACCAGCCACGGCAGACACUUAAAAGAAUAUUAUUCUUUCCUACAGCUUAUACUGUAGUGUAUGUAGUAUAUUUUUGCUACUCUGUAUAGUGUUUCUCAUGCUUGGCCUCCUAUAACAAAAGAAAAUUAGAAAGUGGGGAGUGAUUGGGGAGAUGGGGGCGGGCUGGACAAGUGAUUUAGAAAGUAAUCCGAGCCGAACUGAAAAAAAAUAUUUCAAACUGACUGAGCCAAACCUGGAAAGCUGCACAAAACAGGAAGGGAAGGAAAAGAACAGACAAAAUAAAUAAGAAACAAUUGGGGAAAGAGAAACAGGGGACACAGGCUGUGGGGGAUGAGGACAGUGUUCAUGAAGCGGGACACAUAGGCAGUAAUUUUAAAGCAGAAAGAAGCUAAUGGAGGCAAUUCUCAUUUUCCUUUGCCUUCCCAAUUAUAAAUAGUCAUUGAGAAGAAACAGCCCCAGGAUCCAUUUUUCAUAAGUUUUCAUGGCAAAAAAUGUAACUAGACAGAGCAGGCAGUGGUAGGUGUGGCUACUGUUGCUUGAGACGUCUCACUCUGAGACCCAGUUAAAAACUGUACCGUGAUGCACAGAAACAAGGGGCGGGCAAUUAAAGCUGUGAGGCAAGCUGAAGUCUGCCAUUUCCUCACGUUUGUUGCUUGACGUGGAGCCGAUUGGCUUUGUGAAUGUAACGUGGGACGUAUGCUAAAUCAGUGCAAUGAAUCACAUAAAUAUUCUAAACUGGAGGAAGCUCCAGCCUCCUGCUCUGGGAAGCAAUUUAACAGCGGUCUCAGGAGAGGCACCCCGCUGGCCAUGGCGGGCACUAGUGGUCACCUACUACAGGACAGGCCUAACAAAGAAAAUAACAGAACGCCACUAGCUGUCACCUUCAGUCCCCCACUAAAACCCCUCCAACGCAUUAUUAAGGAUCUACAACCUAUCCUGAAGGAUGACCCAACACUCUCACAAAUCUUGGGAGACAGGCCAGUCCUUGCCUACAGACAGGCCCCCAACCUGAAGCGAAUACUCACCAGCAACCACAUACCACACAACAGAACCACUAACCCAGGAACCUAUCCUUGCAACAAAGCCCGUUGCCAACCGUGUCCACAUAUCUAUUCAGGGGACACCAUCACAGGGCCUAAUAACAUCAGCCACACUAUCAGAGGCUCGUUCACCUGCACAUCUACCAAUGUGAUAUAUGCCGUCAUGUGCCAGCAAUGCCCCUCUGCCAUGUACAUUGGUCAAACUGGACAGUCUCUACGUAGAAGAAUAAAUGAACACAAAUCAGAUGUCAAGAAUUAUAACAUUCAUAAACCAGUCGGAGAACACCUCAAUCUCUCUGGUCACGCGAUUACAGACAUGAAAGUUGCGAUAUUACAACAGAAAAACUUCAAAACCAGACUCCAGCGAGAGACUGUUGAAUUGGAAUUCAUUUACAAAUUGGAUACAAUAGAGACUGGGAGUGGCUAAGUCAUUAUGCAAGGUAACCUAUUUCCCCUUCUUUUUUCCUACCCCCCCCCCCUUCCUCAGACGUUCUUGUUAAAUCCUGGAUUUGUGCUGGAAAUGGGCCACCUUGAUUAUCAUACACAUUGUAAGGAGAGUGGUCACUUUAGAUAAGCUAUUACCAGCAGGAGAGUGGGGUGCGGGGAGAGAAAACCUUUUGUAGUGGUAAGCACCCAUUUUUUCAUGUUUUGUAUGUAUAAGAACAUCUUCUGUAUUUUCCACAGUAUGCAUCCGAUGAAGUGAGCUGUAGCUCAAGAAAGCUUAUGCUCAAAUAAAUUGGUUAGUCUCUAAGGUGCCACAAGUACUCCUUUUCUUUUUGCGAAUACAGACUAACACGGCUGUUACUC